rnacentral:misc_RNA from 1 species
UUUCAAUAAUUUUUAAAUAGAAAUGAAAAAGAAAAGAGUAAGUAAAUUUUUAGAUUUUAAGAAUUUUAUUAACAUUUAAAAACACUUAUAUAUGCCAGAUAUAAACAUAUACCAUUACCGAAAUGUUAGCUAUCAAGGAUGCGGCAGGAAGCAUGCAACUAACGUUGACGACAAGAUUCUUAAUGGCUACAGUGAGUUCACACUCAAACCUUUUAAGGAAGAAGAUGGUGACUACAUGUGCAAUCAAAAGGAUCCAGUGGUGGAAAGGGUCUAUUCAAGAAACACAAUGAGAAAAUGAUGUGGUUUGGAUUAAUUGUGCAUGAAGAUGUUGAUGUGGUGGAUUUUAAACCAAUUCUUUCCCAACCUGGUUUUGGUCAGUCGAGUGAGUUGAGCAACUACAAAGGCUAUGUGGAGGAGAUACUGAAUUCAAUGGCAAGAAAUGGGAUGGAAACUGUGGUCCAAGGUUAGGUAGGUGGGAGAUGUAGGAAAGAAAAAGCGGCAGAGAAGACAAGGAAUGGUGUUUUUAGUUGAGGGUCAAAAAGUAAUUUUAACCUCUUACAAUGAAAAAUUUGAUUACAAGAGGUUAGAUCGGUUUUUAAGUUAAAAAAAAUUAAUGUGAGAAGUUUUAUAUUAUAAAUUGAAGUUUAAAGAUGAAGACGAGCAGUGAAAUUUAUCUAAAAGAUUUAUUCAUAAUUAUAAACACACAUUCAGCUAUUGUACGAUUGCAUUUGCUCCUCAAAAUUUUGCAAUCUUGGGUUUUCGGCUACUUCAUUUUUCUCGCCAACUUGAUCAAUUCAGCUAAAGUGGGAUCUUUAGAGACCUCAGGAUCUUGAUGUUCUGAAACCACACCCAAAUAGAAAAUAAAGGAAAGAGGAGAGAAAAUAGAAGAAAGGGGAGAUGAAAGAAAGAAGAAGAACAUUAGAAGAAGAAGAGAGAG